ACGGCUCAGUAACACGUAGUCAACCUAACCUAUGGACGUGGAUAACCUCGGGAAACUGAGAAUAAAACACGAUAGAUCAUUAUGCCUGGAAUGGCUUAUGGUUCAAACAAUUUAUUGCCGUAGGAUGGGACUGCGGCCUAUCAGCUUGUUGGUGAGGUAAUGGCCCACCAAGGCUAUAACAGGUACGGGCUCUGAGAGGAGAAGCCCGGAGAUGGGUACUGAGACACGGACCCAGGCCCUAUGGGGCGCAGCAGGCGAGAAACCUUAGCAAUGUGCGAAAGCACGACUAGGUUAAUCCGAGUGGUUCCUGCUAAAGGAACCUUUUGUCAGUCGUAAAACCACAGAUGAAUAAGGGGUGGGCAAGUCUGGUGUCAGCCGCCGCGGUAAUACCAGCACCUCGAGUGGUCAGGAGGUUUAUUGGGCCUAAAGCAUCCGUAGCCGGCUUUGCAAGUCUCCGGUUAAAUCCAGCUGCUCAACAGAUGGGCUGCCGGAGAUACUACAAAGCUAGGGAGCGGGAGAGGUAGACGGUAUUCUGUGGGUAGGGGUAAAAUCCACUGAUCCAUAGAGGACCACCAGUGGCGAAGGCGGUCUACCAGAACGCGUUCGACGGUGAGGGAUGAAAGCUGGGGGAGCAAACCGGAUUAGAUACCCGGGUAGUCCCAGCUGUAAACGAUGCAAACUCGGUGAUGCAUUGGCUUAUGGCCAAUGCAGUGCCGCAGGGAAGCCGUUAAGUUUGCCGCCUGGGAAGUACGGACGCAAGUCUGAAACUUAAAGGAAUUGGCGGGGGAG
rnacentral:rRNA from 1 species